UAGCUCAGUUGGUAGAGCAUGAUGUUUGCAACGCCAGGGUUGUGGGUUCGAUUCCCAC
rfam:Salmo salar isolate Sally breed double haploid chromosome ssa22, whole genome shotgun sequence.